ACGAACUCUCAGCAUUUUUAUAAUUGUCUGUUGAUAAGGCUUAGCCCGAGCCCACUGACGUGUGUAGGGCACUCCCAAGCGCGGGCUGAAGGAAGGAUGGGGUGGGAAGAGAGCGAUUAUGCUAGUCUGAUUUUAUUUCCCGAAGCUAACGAAAUGGGAAACUCCCCGUGAGUCACUCUAAGACGUCCCCUUGCCCAUCUGAGCUUCCAUCAGAAAGAGAAAACUGAAUGGAUUUUAAUUAUUCUUCAGGCCAAAGUGUAAAUACAGUCUCCUACUACCACAAAUUAUGCAGUGGAGCAUCUCACAUUUGGGGAACUUGCUGGGCUCCGCACGUCCAGAGUGUAAAGGAUAAGCCUCGUCUUGGGAAAUACCACCUUUGUG
rnacentral:lncRNA from 1 species